rnacentral:rRNA from 1 species
UACGGGGGGGAGCAAGCGUUGUUCGGAUUUACUGGGCGUAAAGGGCGCGUAGGCGGCCACCGCAAGUCGACUGUGAAAUCUCUGGGCUUAACCCAGAAAGGUCAGCCGAUACUGCGGGGGCUAGAGUGCAGAAGGGGCAACUGGAAUUCUCGGUGUAGCGGUGAAAUGCGUAGAUAUCGAGAGGAACACCAGUGGCGAAGGUGGCGACCUGGGCCAAUAUUGACGCUGAGGUGCGAAAGCGUGGGGAGCAAACAGG